AUACCCACAUGACAUUUUCCGAAGAUUUCAUAUUGACCUCUCCCUUUUUCAUCAUUCUAUCUCGCUAUUUUUGAGUGAUUUUUGCCGUUCGUGCCCUGUGGUGAGCGGUUUUGUCAAUGUGUUGGUGUUGAUCGUGCCGACCGAGCGACCCGAGAGUGAUUUUUGAACAGUUAAAAAGACAAAAGGAAGAAGCAAACGAAGAACACGCACAUGCACACAGUCCGCGUUGUCGGACUUGGUGAUCCGAGAGAGUGCAAAAUGGACGUGUUGAAUUCAGGAGGUUUAAAAUUGUGAAAUAUGAACGCAAUUUGGCCAGAAAGUAUUUCAGAAGACCAUUCAAGGCUGGAUUAAAAACGCAUCGUCAGUGGCAUGUGUACCAGUGAACAGUGCAGCAAGGUUGAUCACCUACAGCCAUGAUUCCGUCAUGCAUGUGUUUUAAAGUUAUUUAGUGAUAAAUGUGAGUUAUUCACAUAUUUGUGCUAGUUAAAAAACAGUGAAAGCGCGAAUGAAAUAUUGUAAUUUAAAAAAUAUAAUGAAAAAAAAAAUCAUAAAAUAAAAAAAAUAUUAUACGAGUAAAA